CCAGACUCCUACGGGAGGCAGCAGUGGGGGAUAUUGCACAAUGGGGGGAACCCUGAUGCAGCGACGCCGCGUGGGUGAAGGAGUGCUUCGGCAUGUAAAGCCCUAUCGGCAGGGAAGAAGCAAGACGGUACCUGACUAAGAAGCCCCGGCUAACUACGUGCCAGCAGCCGCGGUAAUACGUAGGGGGCGAGCGUUAUCCGGAUUCACUGGGUGUAAAGGGAGCGUAGACGGCCAUGCAAGCCAGGGGUGAAAGCCCGGGGCCCAACCCCGGGACUGCUCUGGAAACUGCAUGACUUGAGUGCAGGAGAGGUAAGCGGAAUUCCUAGUGUAGCGGUGAAAUGCGUAGAUAUUAGGAGGAACACCAGUGGCGAAGGCGGCUUACUGGACUGUACCUGACGCUGAGGCGCGAAAGCGCGGGUAGCGAACGGGAUUAGAUACCCGAGUA
rnacentral:rRNA from 1 species